AACAAACGCUGGCGGCGUGCCUAACACAUGCAAGUCGUGCGAGAAAGUCCCCUUCGGGGGGCGAGUAAAGCGGCGAAAGGGUGAGUAACACGUGGGUAACCUGCCCUCGGGAUCGGGAUAACGUGCCGAAAGGUGCGCUAAUACCGGAUAAGACCACGCGGACGAUGUCCGAGCGGUCAAAGAUGGCCUCUCGACGAAGCUAUUACCUGGGGAUGGGCCCGCGGCCUAUUAGCUUGUUGGUAGGGUAACGGCCUACCAAGGCUCUGAUGGGUAGCCGGCCUGAGAGGGUGUACGGCCACACUGGAACUGAGACACGGUCCAGACUCCUACGGGAGGCAGCAGUGGGGAAUUUUGCGCAAUGGGGGAAACCCUGACGCAGCAACGCCGCGUGAGUGAUGAAGGCCUUCGGGUCGUAAAGCUCUUUUGGAGGGGAAGAAAUGUGUCGUGGCUAACAUCCACGGCAUUUGACGGUACCCUCAGAAAAAGUUCCGGCUAACUCCGUGCCAGCCGCCGCGGUAACAC
rnacentral:rRNA from 1 species